rnacentral:rRNA from 1 species
CCCUUAGAUGUUCUGGGCCGCACGCGCGCUACACUGUCGGAUGCAGCGAGUCUUAACCUUAACCGAAAGGUUUGGGUAAUCUUAUGAAAGUCCGACGUGAUGGGGAUUGAUCAUUGCAAUUAUUGAUCAUGAACGAGGAAUUCCUAGUAAGCGCGAGUCAUCAGCUCGCGUUGAUUACGUCCCUGCCCUUUGUACACACCGCCCGUCGCUCCUACCGAUCGAAGAGUUAGGUGAAUUGUUUUGAUCGAUAAGAUUUGACUAUGGUCAACUCUCGUUGUGAAAUUCUGUGAAUCUGACUGUUUAGAGGAAGGAAAAGUCGUAACA